UACAGAGGUCUCAAGCGUUGUUCGGAUUCAUUGGGCGUAAAGGGUGCGUAGGUGGCGCUGUAAGUCAGGUGUGAAAUUUCGGAGCUCAACUCCGAAACUGCAUUUGAUACUGCGGUGCUUGAGGACUGGAGAGGAGACUGGAAUUCACGGUGUAGCAGUGAAAUGCGUAGAUAUCUGGAGGAACACCGGUGGCGAAGGCGGCAUCCUGGACCGGUAUUGACGCUGAGGCGCGAAAGCCAGGGGAGCAAACGGG
rnacentral:rRNA from 1 species